GUCCUCUGGUAUGAAACACACGCUCUGAGCUCAGAGCCACUUCUCAGAUUCACACAUCCCAUUGCCUGGAUGACAUGCCCUGUGCUCUUUCUCCCAUGAUAAACCUGACAUUUUAAGGAUAAUCAGGCUGCUUUUUACGGUAAGUGAUGCAGAAAUGGCGCCUGCCUUCACCUUCAUAGCUGCUGCUAAGAAGGAGAUUGUUUUAUUGUGAUGAUGAUUUUAGAAGGUGUUGAUUUACAAACAAAAGUAGCACCGCCAGAUGGCCCUGAGGUUUUCAUGGGGUACCAGUGACACAUCCCAUUAGCAGGCAGCACAGUGCAGGUGGUGAGCGCUCCAGUGCAGCACCAGACUCGCUUGGGGUUGAGUCUUGGCUCUUACUGUAUCCUUGGGCCCGUAGAGCAGUCCCUCAGCAUUUCUGGGCUUCCAUUUCGCCAUCCAUAAGACAUUCCUAAUAGUUUAUCACAGAGUUGUCAGGAAGGUGACAAAACCCACAGCCUUCGGUCUGGAGGAGCGCAGGAGCUGGUGAAGGACGACCCGUGUUUGCAUUUUUUAGAUGAUUGCCGUGAGGACCACUUUCUACUGCACGAGCAGGCAGCGUUCUGGCAGCUGCUGGGUGUUUUGAUUCUCGCGUAACCCUCCCUAUGCCUUUAGUCAUUGAGUUGAGGAUAUUUAUUCAUCAAACUUGUACCGGAGCCAGAGUCCUCAACAGAUGAGGAGCCACCGGCGUUUUGCUGUCCCGUGUGUUCUUGGUUGACGGGCGUUUUGCUGUCCUGCGUGUUCUUGGUUGCUCUGGGCACCUGUCGGGAGAUGCUGCCCGUUGACUCCGCAGGACGCUUCCCUUGGGAUGAGUUCUCAGAAAUUAGCCAAUGCUGCUGCCGCAUGGCCCCACGACUGGCCUGUGCCAGGCUUUCCUGCUGACCAGUUCCCUGAGGAUGAAGAACCCCAGGUGAGCAUGGCAGUUCAGGGGAAUUCUCAGUUCUUAAAACACGUGUCUUCUCAGUUCAAGACACAUUCUUGAAACUUUCUAGGGCAACGAGGGUUCCUGUGUUAGCCACUGCAGGGCUCGGGGAGCUUGCUCUCCAAAUCACGGCACUGAGCUGGGCUGCGACACGUGCUCAGCUCCUGGGAGCACCUCUCCAGGCCAGGAGGGUGCACACGGGGCUGCUCCCCACACCCACCCGUGAGGAUCCCCUGAGUUCCCGGUGGGAGCUGUGCAGACCACUCCUGGGUUUUCAUGCCUGUCCCUUCAAGAUGGCCCUUCUCCUGCCAGAUCUGCCCUUGGAUCCCUGAACCUUCCUAACUCUUUACAGACACAGCGAAUGUGAGUGCUUCGAAAGCUACUCGUGAGUCUUUUUGAACGUGCAUCCCUGUGUUCUGCUGCUUGCUGUGGGCAAGAAUUUUCUGACUGAUUGUUGUGAGCAGCAUUUAUCUUUGAAGCUGCCAUUUUACUUUCUGAGACAUAAAGUGGUAAUUUCAUAAUGGAAUUGUAUUAGAUCUUUAUAACUUUCUUUUUUUCUUUUUUCUUUCAUUAUUAUUAUACUUUAAGUUUUAGAGUACAUGUGCACAAUGUGCAGGUUUGUUUGUUACAUAUGUAUACAUGUGCCAUGUUGGUGUGCUGCACCCAUUAACUCGUCAUUUAGCAUUAGGUAUAUCUCCUAAUGCUAUCCCUCCCCCCUCCCCAUUUGCUUCAGUUGCCUCUGCAUCUGUGCAGGGAGCUUUAUAAAGACAUUAAGGAAAUACUGCAUUUGGCAUUUGAAAAGUCUCAAAUGUGCAGAUUUGAGAUGGGUUCAAAGGUACAGAUUGGAGAUGCUGACACAGUUUCUAUGCAUGGAUUCACCUUCAUGAAGGUACUUGUUAGAGCUUCCUCUAGAAGUGUCAGGGAUGCCACCAUAAUGCAAACUGUGGUUUUGAUUAUCUCACAAAUUCAUCCCACAUCUAAGACAGGCCAAGUAAGAGGAGAUGCCAGGUUUCCUGUGGAACACAAGCAUGAUGGUAUGGAGAGCCUUACUGUUUGUUUUUCCCCAGAUGGAAUAAAAUUCCCUGGAGUUUGAAUUCUCAGAAGUAAGGUGUCAGAUUCCAACCCUUUCAUAUCCCCCAGGGCCACAAUUUUAGAGACAAAAUAUGCUUAGCUUCUGGGGUAGAUGUGAGAUUUAGCCACGGUUCAGUGCGUUUGAACACGCAUGCCUAUACGUCGCUGUGGCCUGGCUUCCUCUGAAGAGGAUCUCACCUUAGCUCCCAGAGGUGAGUUAACUGGACGUAAAACAGACAGGUGCAAGAAGACAGUCAUUCAUGGCGGCAUGAAAAUACAUUUUGUCUAACGUCACCUUUAAGUCAUGACAGAAUAUGAGAGGAAAUCAGAGGGACCAUGCUGUCGUCCUGGGUGCAAAAUAAAAGUCGAGUUUCGUGGGUCCUGGCCAUUUCUAGGACCAGUUAUAUUUUUGAUGAAGCCACAUUGGAUGUUAAGUAAAGUACGCUCUUUGCCUGUUUCUGGGUAAUGGAUCUGGAGGGAUUGGAAUACAUUUUUUGUAUUUUUUCAAAAUAUUACAAUGGGCAUGAUAAUUUUUAGCAAGAAUCAGUGAAGUAAUUAAAAUAAAAACAUUUUAUGCUUUAUGCUUUUCUAGAAAUUGCCAUUUUGUUUGUCAACCCUGUGAUUUAAUAACUCAAUGCUUGAAUGCUGCUGCGUGAUAAUGAGGGAAAAAUGGGAAUAGGAGACAUGUUUGCCGUUGGGUGUGGAGUGCAAAAACACAAUUGUGAUUUGGCCAAAGAACAGCUCACUAGCAAAUAUCUACCUCCAGGGAAAACCGAGUUCACUUGCUCUAGCAAAGCUGGCUUCAUGGACUGAUGGGAAGAUUAAGUGGUUAAUUUCCAUAAAGUCUGGAAGAGUGCCUGGCGUAGCUUAGGCACAUCAAUCAAUGUAAGUUAUGCUUGUGGUUAUUAAAAUAUUGACAUAAAAAUGAGAGUAUGCAUUCAAUGUCCUCUUUAUUUUUAAUCUUUCGGUGUCUAAAAUAAUGACAUAUUGCCAGUAAUAAAUUCAGCAUGAACACUUACUACAGCCACUAUUUAAAUUCAUGAUAUCAGUUACAUAAAUAUUUUUGCGUUUUCACUUAGUACGGUCUUUUCAUUUACUAAAUACCUCUCUGGAAUUAUAUUUAUGAUUUGAUAUUUCUGUUAUGAGGAAGAAGUUGUGGAGGUCAGUGUAGGGCAGUUAAGAGAAGGACUCUGAGACAGAACACUGAUGAUAAGCCUGGGCCACCCAGGCAAGGAUUUUCCAUUACUUUUGGACCAGUCCACUGGCAAUAGCAUUGCUUUGGCAACUCUGAGGUGACAUCACUUUGUCUCUUGUUCUCUGGGUUUUCCUCUUGACAUUUAUUAGGGCAGUGGACUUCUGCUCGACAUCAUCUUGAAAGUCUAGGCUUGUUAUAUUGUGUCAUAAAUAAAUAUAACUGCUAUUUCCAGAAAACAGAGACACAGUCAGUUCAAAAUUAGAAAUUGAAUGGAAGCUCCAUGGAGAACCAGUGAGAUGUCGCCAUGAUGUAAAAUUUGGAAGGACAGAUCCAGCCACAGGGAGACAAAGUAUGUGUGAGAGCAAAGGAGCCGCUGGUUCCUGAAGUCAGGGUUGCAAUCUUUGGGGAAAUGUGUGGGUGGAUCCGGGCAAGGUGAUGGAACUGGGAGACCUGGCUAGGUGAGUGGGAGACUCUCUUAGAGCCGUGCAGUUUGAUGGAAGGGGGCGUGGGGCACGAGGCGGUGGACAGAGGGCAGGAUUGGGAGCACCUGGGGCUGCUACAUGGAAUGCUGGCUCUGUGCCAUCUACCACCUGUGACCGUUUUCCAUCUCUAAACCCAGAUCUGUCAUCUUGCAAGGCCCCUGUCACCAGCACAUGCCGCAAGGUCAUGGCCCCUGCCCUCCCGCAGAGGCUGAGAUGGAGAUGCAGAGCCCCCCGUCUGCUCAGAAGAAGGACGCAGAACAUGACUUGCUUUGAUGAUUUCCAAUAAACUUCCUCGCUGACUUUCCUCUCAUCUCUUCCCCUCCCUCCUUCAUUGUGUCCUUUCUCAGUUGAAAGCAGGAAAGGCAGGCAGGGAGGGGUCUUCAUGUGGGGCCCUGGGAGGUGGCCAGUCAGGGGUCAGGGAGGCAUUUGCUUUUGAGUUGGAGACUGAUGCUCACUGGAAAACUUGCCUUUGACUCUCGUCAGAACUCUUCACAGGGCUCCAGUGGGUGCGGGUGAAGGGGCCUCCUGGGGGAAAGUAAGGGAGCACAGAGCAAAUUACCCAAACACCACACCUGCAGAUGCACUCUAUCCCUCAGCCAGCCUCAUUCCUGCCCAAGGUAACAGAGCCAGCAGGUCCUCAUCACGGUGCCAUGGGGACGUCCGCUCUCCUGCCCACCCCCACGCAGGUGCUGUGUGUCCCAAGUCCACCCUCUUCACCCUGGGAUGAAAGAAAGGCAUGCAGGAAAUUCAAGGGGCCAGCUGGCUCUGAGGCAUCAUUGCUGGACACUGUUUUUAUAACAACCACUGAGCGAGAUGGUUGAACGCCGCAUGCACAGAACUCCACCGGCUGAAUGGUCUGUGGGCUGGGAUUUGCAUUCAAGUUCCAUUUCCUCACAGGAACGGGUGAACUGAGUUUCAUAAUCCAAGGCGACCUUCUCAAGGAAGCUAUUGCCUUUGGUGAGUAUCACCCUGAAAACAGUGCUGGGUGUUUGUCUCUCCUCUCUCGCUGCUUGGCUGGGCAAGUGCCCUUUGCCUAGAGGGAGGGAUCUGAGCCACACGGGGCUGUGAGGGACCCCAUCUCCAAAGGGCUCCAUUUACUGGGUUUUUAUACUUCUCAGAAUAUUGAUCAAACCAUAGAUUUUCUGUAGUCUCACAGCAAAGCCUGCAAUCCCACCGGCAACCGCGUGACAACCUCAAGCCAGUCACCUUUCCAGGCCCAACAACUGUCCUGUGAAUACAGGGUGCUCACGGGAACGGCUCCAUCAGCCCCGCACGCCAGUCAGUGCCAUCUCCAAAUGGUCAUUUGGUCUCAAGUUUAGCUUCUGUCUUAAUGUCUAUGGUUUUGGCUGAAGUCAUAUGGUGUUAUUGAAGCCGAGAACAAAAUCAGCAGAUUUCAUCUGACAUUAUUGCAUAUGGGUUCAUGAGGUUUUGUGGUUUCUUCAUCAAACAUGUAGUUAAAUGUUAUGAAACGGAACCAUAACAACCUUGUCCAGGAAAAAUCUAUGUGUCUAUUGAGGCACCAAAUGUGCUUUCAAGCUGAAUGGUUGGCAGGGCUGGAGAAGAUUAGCCUAGAGUUUAGUAAACCUGCCCAGGUGAACCACUGAAUCUUGCAAUUAAGUUGCUUCUAAUGACUUCACAUUUGGGAACAAAAAUAAACUUUAAAAAGAGAACUAGUACAAAAAAAACAGUGUCCUUCUGACUAUUCUAACGCCCCAGAGGUCAGAUGUUGAAUUGCAGCUUUGACCAAUUUCCAUGGGAGAAUUGCACAUUUAAAAAAAUAAACUUUUCUUCAAAGCUAGUGAGGCAGAGGGAGACACCUUCAUCUCCCUCCCGCCCUUCUUAGCUCCUCCAGGGCUGGCCAUCCUGUCUGCAACGCGGAUUCUUCUGCAUUUACACAUGUGAUAUUUACAGUGAAUGAAAGCUUUAUACUCAUUAUUCAUAAUAAUAAUAUCAAGUGCCUCUUAGUUCCAGGAACUGUUUCUCUUCAUUGCCCCCCUCUUUAAGUUAACAUGCAGGGAAAGAAAGAAAGAAAAGAAAAAGAAAAAGAUUUCUACCAGAUACGAAGCUACAGUGAGAAGGGUUCUGCCAGCAGCCACGUUCCUCAGCCCAACUCAUUAAUUCUGUGCCCCUGAGUCACAGCCGCCGGACAGAGCAGAAUCUCUCCCUGGAGGCAUUUCUAUGCCAGUGAGAAGGACAGUGGCACCAAACACGCAGAGUGCACAGUCACUGGUGAAGGUGACACUCACCAGAGGUUUGUGGCCUUUGCACCUGGAAGAUCAGAGCUUCUCUCUCUGAGAUGAGCUGACACAGCAUGCCAGGCAGAGACAGCCUCGGAAGUCUGGAGGUCCUGAGACUCCCCUGGAAGGAGGACACAGAAAUGAGGUGCACUCACCCUCCUGGGGCCAGGUUGCACGCACAAGCUGGAGACUCCAACCUCACGGAGCUGCCCCUCCAGUGGAAAGAGGCAGGAGCCACACCACCCACAGGUGGAUAAGUAAUCUCGGAUAGCGCCAGGGGCUGCAAUGGAAAUUAAAAUGGAAACAGGACCAGCAGCCAUGGGGCUGGGCAGCCCAGUGUUUUUAGGCAGAGGGGUGAGGAGGCAGCCUGGGGCUGAUGCCUGGAUCUGAAGAAGGAGUGAGCUGUGUGAGAUUUAGAGAGUCAUGCCAAGUGGAGGGAACAGCAGACUCAGUGGCAGCCAGGGGAGGAAGCGGUGUGGGGAGGUGGGAACGGUGAGGUGGGCAUGGGGAUGUGGGCACGGGGAGGUGGGCAGUCUCUCCAUGGCCUGCCUUGAGAAGGAGAGGAGAGGACGAAGGCAGGACAUCCUUGUUUUUAAGGCAGGAGCUUUAUUAUUGUUAUUUUUUAACGUAGAAGAGGUUAAAGCUUGGUCUCUGCUAUUGAGGUAAUAUGUCUGGCGGGGAAGUGGAGGCUGUGGGAUAGACAGAUUUCAGGGGCACGACUCUGGAGUCCGGGAAAGGGAUGCCGCUAUGCCUGGUGUCUGUGCAAUGCCCAGAGGGGUGGCCCUGGGCUCCAACAGGAGUGGGGGUGUUUCCAUCUGUCAGAGGGAAAAUUGAAGAUGUUUCAGGAAGCUUGGUGGCUUCUGCAUUUUCCCCAAAGCAGGUGCCGCGUGUCACCAAGAGGAAAAGCCAUCAGCUGAGAACUGAGGGUCUCCAAGGGCAUUUGGGGGGUUGAGGAGGAAAGAAUGAAAUGUUCCCUUGGAGACAUAUCCUGGGAUUUUGGGGAGAGUGGAGUCCAGAGAGAGAAGGAGCAGCACCUGGAAGGAGGCUGAACGUGUGUGCGAGAGUCAGUCAGUGCUCCCCUUGCAUCCAUUCGCAUGCACGGCCGGGUCUCUGCCGACCUCCUCCAGGCCCCCAGCCCUUCCCAGGCUAGCCUGCCUCCUGCCUCACAGAGGAAAAUCACACGCGCAACCGCAGCUCGUACAGCAGGUGGGUCCAUGGCCACGUUGAUGUUAAAACGUUCAUUUUUGGAAGGCCCAGAGGCCAGAAGACAGCUCAGGCAGCCUCCCCACGGCGGCGCACGCUGUCAGAUGCGACCCAGCCUCACUUAAAACUUCAAAGACACGCGUUUCAAGGUGGGCCUGGAGUGCUGUUCUUUUCACUGAUUUUUCUCAGUUUGUCGUCCGUUGAGUGGAUUCGGAGCUCUUUCAUCUGGGCGGUCACAUCAUCCACUCAUCCUGCAGAACCAACAAAAAGCCACAGUUGCACUGGACCGUUUCCCGCCAUUUUUCCUACGUGUGUGUGGCUGUCAGAAAAUGACCCAUAUUUACUUUGAAAUAAUACUUCCCGCCUUUGUUCCAUGUAAAUCUAAUUUAUGUUUACUGUUGAUUUAAGGAAGUGCAGGCAAGGAUAUGGAAGAAAUUUAAAUAACUUCUGUUUCUGCCACCCAGAGAGAACCUACUGUUAACAUUUUCUGUCAGGCUUUUUAUACACAUAUUUAUAUAAUUGAGAUUAUUCUGUAUAUACAAUUUUAGUCUUUGUUCCCUCCCGCCCCACCCAGUAUUACUUUGUAAGUAAUGGAGCCCAAUCUGUGGUUCCCCCACGAUAAAGUUAUUCUUUACUCUCAUUGAACAUAUGAACACUUUCUUAUUUUUAAAAAUUCUUAUUCUUUAGUACUACAAAUAAUACUGUGGCAAAAUGUUUUAUACCUUUUCCUGAAAUGGCGAUUUUCUUGAGUCCUACGGGAAGUUUUACCAGGUCAAAGCUCAGGAACUUAAGGUUUGGGCUUGCAAUGACACCUCACAUGAAGUGCUGCUGGAAUCAAUAUUUUUGGAGACUUUUCUUAAUUCUUUAGUUUCUUAAGGGUAAAGAGUGGCAG